rnacentral:rRNA from 1 species
UUGGUCAUUUAGAGGAAGUAAAAGUCGUAACAAGGUCUCCGUUGGUGAACCAGCGGAGGGAUCAUUACCGAGUUUACAACUCCCAAACCCCUGUGAACAUACCUAUACGUUGCCUCGGCGGAUCAGCCCGCGCCCCGUAAAACGGGACGGCCCGCCCGAGGACCCCUAAACUCUGUUUUUAGUGGAACUUCUGAGUAAAACAAACAAAUAAAUCAAAACUUUCAACAACGGAUCUCUUGGUUCUGGCAUCGAUGAAGAACGCAGCAAAAUGCGAUAAGUAAUGUGAAUUGCAGAAUUCAGUGAAUCAUCGAAUCUUUGAACGCACAUUGCGCCCGCCAGUAUUCUGGCGGGCAUGCCUGUUCGAGCGUCAUUUCAACCCUCAAGCUCAGCUUGGUGUUGGGACUCGCGGUAACCCGCGUUCCCCAAAUCGAUUGGCGGUCACGUCGAGCUCCCAUAGCGUAGUAAUCAUACACCUCGUUACUGGUAAUCGUCGCGGCCACGCCGUUAAACCCCAACUUCUGAAUGUUGACCUCGGAUCAGGUAGGAAUACCCGCUGAACUUAAGCAUAUCAAUAAG